rnacentral:rRNA from 1 species
GCGAACACGCAGCGAUAAACAGAGGAAAUAGGGAGGAUGCAAGCGUUAACCGGAAACAAUAGUCGUAAAGAGCUAGUAGUAUGGUAUAUAAGUCAGAAGUGAAAUCCAAUAGCUCAACAAGUGAAGUGAUUUUGAAACUGUGUACCAAGAAAGUGGAAAAGGUAGAGGAAAUUUCUGGUGGAGGGGUAAAAUCCGUAGAGAUCAGAAGGAAUACCGAUUGCGAAGGCGAUCUACAGGAACAUUAUUGACGCUGAGACGCGAAAGCGUGGGGAGCAAACAGGAUUUGAUACCCCAGUAUUC